GGCAGAUAAAUGAUGAAGAUUGGGAUUAGAAUUCAAUUAGAAGAAUAGUUAAACAAAUACUUAUAUGCUUUUGGUUUUGGCAAAUAUGUAAUUUUUUUGUUUGAUUGCUUUUUAUCUCAUAAAUGUUUCUUUCAUUGUUGUGUUUAGUGUCUAGCUACAUCAAGAUUCUCACCGUAGUUUUUAGUUGAACUAUGUUUUGUGUAGUUAAAGAACAUUGUAUAAGGACUAGGGGAUGAUGAUGAGAUUGCAGCUUAUAAAAGCCUAUUCGGUAACAAUGCAAUAAACAAAAUAUUGUACAUAUGGUCUGAUCUAACUUUUUUUUUAUUAUGUUUAGAGGUUAGUCAGUAUUUUCUUUAACUAUCAUUUUUGAAAUACUCUUUUUGUAAAGGGUGAUUUAGCUGAAUAACCAUAUUUGAUAAACAAAUUAAGAAUAUAGCACCAUAUGUAUAAAAAUUAAGAAAAUAGCAUGUAAGGAUAAGGAAAAGAUAAUUUUAGUGUUGAAUUGGAGGUGAGAUAAUUUAGUAACACUUAGUUUAGUUUUUCACCUAUUUGUUUUUUUUUUGCUAUAUAUCUUUUCCAAAAAAUAGAUUCUAAUUAUAAAAUUUAUUAGAAAAAACCCUAUGUUUUUUUCUACAUACAAAAUAGUUUGAAUUUUUAAAAUCGGAUUUAAAUUUAUAAAAUAGUAAAUAGUGUUUGUAAGUAAAAACAUGUAUUAUUUUGGAUAGAAAUAAAAUGUUAUACUAUACUAUUUUGGAUGUUUAGAAAAACUAUACCCUAAGAUACAACCUUGGCAACCCAAGCAACCAGAUAACAUAAGUGGUAUCUGAAAAAUCUACUUUGUCCUUCUCGUUUGUUUGUUAUGUGAUACAAAAAAA
rnacentral:sRNA from 1 species